CCCCCAUAAAAAUGGCAGUUACUAAAGUCAUAUUUUGUUAUUUAUUCUUUUUCCUAUCUCUAUCUCUCUCUCUCUCUCUCUUUCUCUCUCUUGUCUCUCUCUCUCUCUCUCACUCUUUGUAUCCAUUCAUUUCAUCUCAUACUUCUAAGAAACAAACUCUGCUUUGUGCUCCUUAUGCAGUUUAGUGCAAUAUAGGUUUGUUCUCACCCAGAUUAUUUUCUUCUCCCAGUUUAAGAACUAUUGCUGGUAGAUAGCUUAUUUGCUAGAGCUUUGACCAUCAAUAAAACUGGACACAGUGUUUGGGAUUAUAUUGUCUCCCACAGAAUUCGGUGCCCUUUCCCCUUUGUCUAUUCCCUUUAAUAGGACCCUCUUUACUUAAGUGGUGUUUGCAGGUAGAUUGUGUCCCUUCAGGAUGUUGCUACUGUUAAUCUCUGUAUUCAGGAGAAGUAUAGUUUUAAGUGGUUGUACUAAGAAAAGACGAGCUUUUAGACCAUGCUGUAGAGAGCUGGCUUGGAGUAUUGGGUUUGAGACAAAGGAUGGGUCAUUUUAGUUAAGGAUGCAAGCUUGGUCCUAUCACAUGAUGUUAGGUAACCAAUAAGAAGUCUAGUUGGAAGGAAGGGUAAUGUGGGUCUGGAGAGUUUAAUAAAACUUUGAAACUUUAAGUUUCCAGCUCAUUCUCUGCCCAGCUGCCAUUGCUUCGAACACUGCCCUGUAUAUAUUCAAUCUCCAUGUUGGAGCAUGUGCUACUAAAUAUAUCUGUAGCCUCUACCUGAUUUUCUUCUUCAAUAUAUAUAUAUAUACAAAACGUAUAUAUCAACUUUACCUUCUUCAAGUUUCUCUAAGUUUCGAGAGAGUUUCCUGUAUUAUAUUUGAUUGGGCAUUCCAUCCAACUUCAACCUUUAUGAGUUGCAUGGUUAUCAUCCCAGUUCCUGAUUUUAUGUUGCAAGCAAGUGUUGGCUCUUUUACUAGGUAAGAACACUAUAUUUUGCUAUGUAUGUUUUCAUUACUCUGUUGUAUGAAGUGUGUGUAUAUCAUGAUGAUAUCUAUAUUUUGCUUGUAUGACUCUGAGUGUAGUUUGAGACUGUAGCAUACAUUCUAUAACUUUUUAAUUCAGAUGUGUGUUAUACAAGAUUGAUUCUUUCUGCUGAUCAAACAAUUCAGUUAAAUGAGAAGAAAAGAUUAUUAUGGGAGAUCAUUUUGCAGUUAUUAUACUGCAUAGCAUGCGAGCCCUAAAAUAGCCCAUGCUGAAAGAUAAUUGGCUUUUAUUUAGGGUAAUGGCAACUCGUGCUAGAGGUCAUUGAACUCUCACUAAAUUUGGUGGUUUGAGAUACUUGGUUGUAGAUAAGAUUUACUAACCUUAUCUACUGAUUUACUGGUAAUGUGUAUUUGCUGUUCAUUAUGGUUAUGCGCAGCGUGGAGCAUUAUUAUGCAUAUUCAAUUGCUGGACUUUUCCAUUAAUUGUAAAAGUCAAAUGUUAUUUUGGCAAAUUCUAAAUCAAGCGAUAUGGUCAGGUCAAUCAGAUAGAUCGAGCUAUCUAUCUGUGGCAUCCCUAUCGCAUUCAUUAUAGCUCAUAAUGAUAUGAAUGAAAACUCUACUGAACAGUUGGUGCAUUAUUGUGUAUACGUAUUUUAUUUAUAUUUACUAACGUGGUAUAAGUACUAUUUUGAAAAGGAUUGUAUCAUGUUAAUCAUGAAUUAAACUAAGUUAUAAGUAUAACUGAGUAAAUUAAGUUGACAGAAUCGCAUUGAUUCUUCCAAAGUUAAUUAGAUAAAUCAAGAGGCAAACUCUCAUUCUUUUCUUAGUUUAAUCUAUUGAGGGACGAGCUUGUUAUAUAUAUAUAUAUAUAUAUAUUUAUUUAUCUUUCCCUCUCUUAAGGAAUGUUUUAUUAGAAGAGUUCUGUUUAUUAUGCUCUUUUACUAGGGUCUUUUAAUUGAUGAAUCUCAUCGAGCUUCAAGCUAUCGUUCGACCUGUUCUUGUUUUCUGCGUGCUGCGACGUCCUCUUCGACGACACAGAGACGCCGGAUAUUGAUCGACCGCGUAUCGCGAGCGAGCUUAUGAACAUUUAAUAAUUUGGACAUAACAGCUGUUCUAGUUAUAAGUUAUAAUACCUUAUAAUGUUAUAGAUGUAAGAUGUGGAAGUUUUGUUUAUUUCAAUGUUUACUUGAUUUGCAGUUGUUAUUGACAACGAGCUAAUAAAGGCAUUGCCAGGUUAUUUUGUUAAAACGUAACCUCAAGUGUGAUUUCUUUAUUUAUGGACCUGGGAAAUUGUGACAUUCGGGUUACAUAAAUUGGGGGCUUGUCCGGGAGGCUAAAUUUGCAUAUAUGCAUAAUUAAUAUUACUUAUUUGAUAGAUAAUUUAUAAUUACCUCGUAAUUAAUUAAUAUUCUCCGCUUAUUAAGUUUUAAUUGCUAGUAUAAGCAAUUAGUAUUAUACAUUGUUGAAGGCAUUGUAAUUGUCUUCGUCAUUAUAGUUAAGAGUUUAAGAGCCAACACUUGCACAAGUUAGUAGAAGCAAUGGCAGCGGACAGUUUGAAAGAAUUUGGGCAGGAGUGGUGCAAGGAGGAGGGAAUAACGGCAGAUAAUGCCCUCCUACUUGUGACACCAACAGUGGCAAUGCCUGAUGAGGUAUUUGCCCUGGCAAUUUCGGAUCGAUUUCCCACCUUAAGUGGGAUACUCAGAAAGAAUGAGCCAACUAAUAACAAAACUUUGAUACUCUGUAUGUUUGAGGGAGCUACUCCCAUCGUAGGUGUGGGGAGGGAAAUACAUAUAUCGGUAGAUGGAGACACUGUGUGCCAGGUAGUUAGGUUAGAAGAGAGGGACCCCUCGAAAGUAGGUAGGAUAACCAUUAAGGACCUGAAGGAUAGUGGGUUGGUAGAUGAAUGGAUGAAAGCUAAGGGGGGCACAUUGCUUAAGGAAGAGGUUUCCAAGAACGAAAAUGUUUCCCCUAGCCAUAGCCCAGCCACAAAUAACUCAGAUCGGGAAGUCCUUUCAUUGUCUGCGUCAUUAUCAAAAUGCGCACUUACAAUAAAUUACAGACGAUUGCGCUGUUUCUCAGGAGCGAGGAACCCCGCGCGCGAUGAGGACACAUAUCCUUUGUGGAUAGAGCACGUUGAGGGCCAGAUGGAUGAGUGGGGGGAUCUUGGAGACGGCGAGUGCCGAAAGCGCAUUCGCGAGGCGCUGCGCCCUCCUGCGUCGAGCAUCAUUACUGACCUCCGUCGUGAGUUUCCCCAAGCAGACUCAUAUGAGUACCUCAAGGCUUUAGAUUUGGCCUACGGGGAUACAAACACUGAUGAUGAGCUGUUCGUCAGAUUCCAUAACACCACACAGCUCGAGGGCGAGCGACCCUCUGAGUAUCUUUCUCGCCUGCAGGAGAUACUGAGACAGGUAGUGAGGCGUGGAGUAAUCAAGCCGGCAGACUCCAAUCGGGUAAGAUUGAAACGGUUUAUCAGGGGCGUCUUGUAUAAUGAGAUGCUCCUGGUCAAGUUACAUCUCCGUGAUAAAUUAAUCCACCCUCCUUCAUUUCUGCAGUUAUUAUCCUCUGUAAGGAAGCAGGAGGUAGAAGACUCCAUGAAGGCCAGCCUCACUCGGCCGAAACAAACAGUAGAACAAGGUAAGCGUGCCGCUGCACAUAACUGUGUGGAGGCCCCAGUUCAAAUUUCCCAAGCUUCUACCCCCUCUGAAUCCACCCCUCCAAAGCAGACUCCUCCCAGGUCGCACAGCAACACAUCUGAGGUCAUUUGCUUCAAGUGUGGGGAGGUAGGGCAUAUUAGUAAAAUAUGCAACAGCCCAGCUGCCCCUGAAAUUAUCAGCAAGAAGUUGAUCCAGUUCAUUUCUAGGCAAGCAGGGAAACGCAAAUGGACGCCAGGUAAGGAGAGACCAGGGGUCCACCUAGGUACUGCACCCCAACAAGUAUGCGAUGUUCCUCCAGGACUGGUUGGGGACAGUAUCACCGAAAAGUGCUGGGUGGAUGGGAUAGAGACUACUUCCCUCAUAGAUAGCGGCUCUCAGGUCACACUCAUUCAAAAAAGCUUAUUUGCUAAGCUAAAUCGAGAGUUGCAUCCUAUGAGGGAUCUAGUGCUCUAUCAUGGCGGUGACGGAACUCUACCUUACUUAGGCUAUGCCUAUGUUAAUAUUGGAUUUGAGAAGACCUUUAGCGGGACAGGAACCCAGUUCAGUACUCUAGCCCUAGUAGUGCCGGAUGCUCAGCAUCAAAGAACCCAUUCAGUGGUUAUAGGGACAAAUUCCGGUCUUUUCCGAAAUUGCUUUGAGUCCUGUAAGAGGUUAGCUGGGGUUCGAUUUGCACAAACUUUGCAAAUCAGUCCUGUGUGUAAGGAUAUCUAUUCUUCUCUCUCUAAGAAACAGACACUCCCCGCCGACGGUAAACUCGGCACCAUCAGAACAAGAAAGAAACAUGAAAUUCAUAUUCCACCUCAUAGCAGUCAUACCAUAAUAGGUCAAUGUAGAAACACGCUCCGAGCACCAGCCACUGCGGUCAUUGAGUCCCAUUCCCCAACUAGGUUAGCAAAGGGCUUAGAAGUGAUACCCUCGGUAGUUGAAGUCCCUGGGGAAGCCUUUUGUAAGGUCGAGGUUCUACUUGUCAAUAAGAGCUCUAAGCAAAUUACCAUCCCUGGGAACUGCCCACUGGCUGAUUUAUUCAUCCCAGAGUGGUGCCGCCAACCUCCCAAUCAGGGCUCUACUAAUGCCAUCCAUGCAUCAUCUUCUGCUACCAGCGCAGAAAUGGGCACCACCAUUCCACAUGAUAUCGAUGUUGCGGACCUCCCUAUCAGUUGGGGCCCCAUAACCCCUGAAUGGAAGGAACGCCUUCUACAUCAGUGUAGGCGGAGGAAAACUGUGUUCUCCAGGCAUGACUUUGACCUGGGAUGUUCUGCCUAUGCUGAACAUCAGAUCAACGUCAACGACAGCACGCCAUUCAGGGAGAGAUCUAGGAGGGUAGCCCCUUCAGACUUGAAGGAUCUGCAACAACAUUUGCAGCAGCUACUUGACCACAAAGUAAUCAAAGAGUCUCGAAGUCCAUACGCUUCUCCAAUUGUUCUUGUUCGCAAGAAAAAUGGGAGUUUGAGAAUGUGUGUAGACUACCGCACCCUCAAUUCACGCACAAUUCCUGACCAGUAUGCAGUCCCUCUGAUUCAGGAGGCCAUUGAUUGCCUUAAUGGAAACAAAUGGUUCUCGGUGAUAGACCUGAAGUCCGGUUUUUACCAGAUCCCGAUGCGUGAAGAGGACAAAGAAAAGACAGCCUUCAUCUGUCCUCUAGGUUUCUACCAGUUCGAGCGCAUGCCCCAGGGUGUGAAAGGGGCACCGGCCACUUUCCAACGUUUGAUGGAGAAGUGCAUGUCAGGUUUAAACAUGAUGGAGGUGCUUGUGUACAUGGACGACCUCAUCAUUUUCUCUAAAACGCUGGAAGAGAUGGAGGAGCGCCUGGGUAGAGUGCUUGAUCGGAUGCAUGAAUUUGGCUUGAAGGCAUCCCCUGAGAAGUGUCAAUUCUGUUGUGAGUCGGUCAAGUAUCUAGGUCAUGUAGUCUCGGCAGAGGGAGUACAGACAGACCCAGACAAGGUAGCAGACCUCGCAACGUGGCCUAGACCAGAAACUAUCAGGCAAGUAAAGUCUUUCUUAGGAUUUGCAGGAUACUAUCGGCGAUUCAUCAAGGACUACUCCAAGAUAUCACGCCCACUUAAUGUUCUCACUAUUGGGUGUGUAUACCCAAAGAAGAGAGGGCAGCCACCUCCAAAGAGGCAGCCUGACCCUAAUGCCAGACGAGCUAAUGAUUCCAUUAGUGACCUCUGGACAAGUGAGUGUGAGGAUGCGUUCCAAACACUCAAGAAACUACUUGUUUCUGCCCCAGUGCUUGCCUUCGCAGACCUGUCACAACCCUUUGUUUUGCAUGUUGAUGCGAGUCGUGACGGUCUGGGUGGCGUCCUAUACCAGGAGCAUGAAGGGAAGCUCCGCCCAGUUGCAUACGGCAGCCGAGGCUUAUCAGCAAGUGAGAAGAACUACCCGGCACACAAGCUGGAGUUCUUAGCCCUUAAGUGGGCAGUUACAGACAAGUUCCGGGACUAUUUGUACGGAGCUAAGGGUACACGGAUUAUGACAGAUAAUAAUCCGCUUACUUAUAUACUAAGCUCAGCCAAACUCGAUGCCACAGGCCAUCGGUGGUUGGCUGCACUUUCAUGCUUCGACUUCUCUAUCCACUAUAAGCCAGGUAAGGCAAAUAUUGAGGCUGACGCAUUGUCACGCAAGCCUCAAAACCCUGCCUUGGAUGAGGAAUACGAACAGCGCCAAAAGUGGAAGCUAAGUGACCUGGAGGCACGGCUCAGGGAUGAUGUCGAUGUAACCUGCCCUCAGGAAGCCAUAAGUGCCCUGUACCAGCGGUACGACGCUGUCCCCAAGACGGAAGUAGGUACCACGCCUCAGGUCACCCAUAAGCAUGGACCUAUGAUAGAGACCCUUUGUGCUAGUGCCGAGUCCAUUCCCAGUCUGUAUGCAAAAGGCUCAGACCUAAACAAGGUAGACUGGUCUCAGGCACAAAAAGCAGACCAAAUCGUGAACCUGGUCCGGAGUCAUGUGGAGCAAGGUAAGAAGCCUUCUUCGUUGGAUGGUGUACAUCAUGAUGCUAAGCUCAUGCUCCGUGAAUUUGAUAGGCUCGUGCUGAGGCAAGGCAUCCUCUAUAGGUCUUUCUUAGAUUCUCUCGGGAAGACUCAUUACCAGCUCGUCUUGCCCUCAAGUAGCCGGAGGCAAGCUAUGAGAGGCAUUCAUGAUGAGGUGGGUCAUCUCGGCAUCGAGAGAUCGAUAGCCUUUGCUAGAGACAGGUUCUACUGGCCCAAGAUGAGUGCCGAAAUAACAGAGUGGGUGAAGCACUGUCCCCGUUGCGUGGCAAGAAAAUCACAUCAGCACCCAUCAGCACCACUGGUUAGUAUCAAGACGACGAGUCCGUUGGAGCUGGUCUGCAUGGACUUUCUGUCCUUAGAGCCAGACCGCUCUAACAAAAAGUCAAUACUAGUGGUAACUGACCACUACACUCGCUAUGCGCAAGCUUUCCCAACAAAAGACCAAACCGCUAAGACUGUGGCUAAGGUCUUAUGGGAGAACUUUUUCGUACAUUAUGGCCUGCCUCAACGCCUUCACUCCGAUCAAGGCAGAGACUUUGAGAGCAAAGUCAUAUAUGAACUGACCAGGCUCCUUGGAGUCCAAAAGUCAAGGACCACCCCAUAUCAUCCUCAAGGUGACCCCCAACCUGAAAGGUUCAACCGAACUUUACUAAGUAUGCUAGGGACCCUUGAGGAAGAGAAGAAACAAAACUGGAGCAAGUACGUAAGUGCAUUAGUGCAUGCGUACAAUUGCUCAAAGCAUGAUAGCACUGGUUUUUCCCCAUACCUGUUGAUGUUUGGUAGGGAAGCUAGACUGCCUGUUGAUUUGCGCUUUGGCACGAGUCCGGACAACCAUAGUGGCACGGAUCACGUUCAGUAUGUCCAGGGACUUCGUGAACAACUCACCCGUGCUUACAAGCUUGCAUCUGAGGCGUCAGACAAGUCAGCCGAGGCCAACAAGAGAAGGUAUGAUGCUAAGGUGCGAGAAAAUGAUCUCCAGACAGGAGACAGAGUGCUUGUGAGAAAUGUCGGUCUGACUGGCAAGCAUAAGCUAGCCGACAAGUGGUUUCGAGAGCCACAAAUUGUUGUACGGCGUAUCAACCCAGACAUGCCUGUUUAUAAGGUAAAGCCGGAGAAUGGAGAAGGUCGAGAACGUACCCUCCAUAGAAAUCUCCUCCUGCCAAUAGAGUAUUUUAAUGAGACCGUUUCCCCUAAUGUGGAAAGAGUCCGUAAAGGUCCAUCACAUCGGACUAGAUCCAAACAGGUUCUAGCCGCCGAACCGAGUCACUCAAGUGAUGAACCUGCCUCGGAUGAUGAGGGUGUCGCUCUGCUUUUCCCAGAGAUGCCAAUGUCCCAAGUCAAUACCCUACCUGCCCCUGGCCUCCGUGUGGAUGCCCCUGAGUUUGUCCCAGAUAGGGUAAGGCCCAUUCCUGAGAUCCCAUCCCCAAUUAUAGUGGAAGAUGGAAGUGAUGAAGGAAGUAUCCGAGAUGGCAGUCCAGCACUAAGUAUGAUUGAACCUAUGUCCCUAGAAAGUGAUGAAGAAGUAUUAUUUCCCUUGAAUGAAUUUCCUGAACUGAUAGAGCCCCAACAAAGGACCGAGGAAGUAGGUUAUGGGGACCAGAUUCUGAGGAGGGAGAAUAUGGAUAGCGAAGAGAUGGGUGCUGACCCCGUCGACCAAAUGGGUAAUAUAUCUCUUGAGAAUCCCUUUGUGUCUAUCGAUGUACCUGGUGUCUUACCAGGCACCGAACCUAGUGCUACAGACGCAGAUUCUGAGCCGCAAUCCAUCCGACGCUCAACUCGCUCUUCCAAGCCGCCGCAGCGCAUGGUAUAUCAUGAUUUGGGCGAUCCUACGACACGAUCGGCUACCUCCUCUGGGUUAUUUGCUAGGUUAAGGCUGAAGAUUUUUGGAUUUUAAUUGGACUAACUUUUACCUUUUAGUUAUGUUCCCGGAGAGAACAGGGUUUGAGGAGGGAGGAUGUAACCCCCAUAAAAAUGGCAGUUACUAAAGUCAUAUUUUGUUAUUUAUUCUUUUUCCUAUCUCUAUCUCUCUCUCUCUCUCUCUUUCUCUCUCUUGUCUCUCUCUCUCUCUCUCACUCUUUGUAUCCAUUCAUUUCAUCUCAUACUUCUAAGAAACAAACUCUGCUUUGUGCUCCUUAUGCAGUUUAGUGCAAUAUAGGUUUGUUCUCACCCAGAUUAUUUUCUUCUCCCAGUUUAAGAACUAUUGCUGGUAGAUAGCUUAUUUGCUAGAGCUUUGACCAUCAAUAAAACUGGACACAGUGUUUGGGAUUAUAUUGUCUCCCACAGAAUUCGGUGCCCUUUCCCCUUUGUCUAUUCCCUUUAAUAGGACCCUCUUUACUUAAGUGGUGUUUGCAGGUAGAUUGUGUCCCUUCAGGAUGUUGCUACUGUUAAUCUCUGUAUUCAGGAGAAGUAUAGUUUUAAGUGGUUGUACUAAGAAAAGACGAGCUUUUAGACCAUGCUGUAGAGAGCUGGCUUGGAGUAUUGGGUUUGAGACAAAGGAUGGGUCAUUUUAGUUAAGGAUGCAAGCUUGGUCCUAUCACAUGAUGUUAGGUAACCAAUAAGAAGUCUAGUUGGAAGGAAGGGUAAUGUGGGUCUGGAGAGUUUAAUAAAACUUUGAAACUUUAAGUUUCCAGCUCAUUCUCUGCCCAGCUGCCAUUGCUUCGAACACUGCCCUGUAUAUAUUCAAUCUCCAUGUUGGAGCAUGUGCUACUAAAUAUAUCUGUAGCCUCUACCUGAUUUUCUUCUUCAAUAUAUAUAUAUAUACAAAACGUAUAUAUCAACUUUACCUUCUUCAAGUUUCUCUAAGUUUCGAGAGAGUUUCCUGUAUUAUAUUUGAUUGGGCAUUCCAUCCAACUUCAACCUUUAUGAGUUGCAUGGUUAUCAUCCCAGUUCCUGAUUUUAUGUUGCAAGCAAGUGUUGGCUCUUUUACUAGGGUCUUUUAAUUGAUGAAUCUCAUCGAGCUUCAAGCUAUCGUUCGACCUGUUCUUGUUUUCUGCGUGCUGCGACGUCCUCUUCGACGACACAGAGACGCCGGAUAUUGAUCGACCGCGUAUCGCGAGCGAGCUUAUGAACAUUUAAUAAUUUGGACAUAACAGCUGUUCUAGUUAUAAGUUAUAAUACCUUAUAAUGUUAUAGAUGUAAGAUGUGGAAGUUUUGUUUAUUUCAAUGUUUACUUGAUUUGCAGUUGUUAUUGACAACGAGCUAAUAAAGGCAUUGCCAGGUUAUUUUGUUAAAACGUAA